GGAUGCGAUCAUACCAACUCAUAAGCACUGGAUCCCAUCAGAACUUCGAAGUUAAGCGAGUUUGAGCGAGAGUAGUACUAGGAUGGGUGACCUCCUGGGAAGUCCUCGUGUUGCGUCCC
rnacentral:rRNA from 2 species